CCUAAUGUAGGGAACCUGCUUCAGUGGGUAAGACUUGAUGAUCUCCAGAGGUCCCUUCCAACCACAAUGAUUCUGUAGUGAUUUAAUAGCAAAUUGGAUUCGGCAUCUUUGCCUGUUAACUUCCUUGUUCUUUCCCACUGCAUUCUUGAAAUAAAUCAGUGCUGUUGGUAUAGCAGCACAAAGGGAGUGGCUUACACAAGUCACAUGGCACUUAAAGGAACUUCGACACCAACAAAAACAACAGUGUCUGUCAAUCCUUUGGUUCUUCUCCUGAAGAAAGAAGAGGUGUGCACCUUGGCUCUACACAUGGAAAAUUCACAAAGUGAAAACAAAAAGCUAUUGAUCCUACUUAUUCCAACAAAUGCCAUCCUUUUUCUAUGGGAUCCUUCGGCUGAUGAUACCUGCUCCCCAGAAGUGAUGUUACUUUAGGUAUAUAUAAUCUUGAUGGACUCACCUUCAUUUGUAUGUCUGUUGCUUAUUUGGGUAUGCGUAUGCAAUAUCUCAAAACUGAAACUGUCAUCUGUGAAAUGCGCAAGCCAAAAAGGAUUAUUGCAGUGGACUGCUCAACAGAGGAACUUCAUGUUGUGCCAAAAGUGCUAUUAAGGUUUCUUACUUUCAAAGGCUGUGAAGUAUACAUGUCCCAAAUGCUUUUCAGUGUUGGUGCAGCAUUGUUGUUUCAAGGUCAGUAUUAGAGCUGAAAUAUCACUAAGAUCAUUCAUGCGAAGUACUCACAGUCUGGUAAACUAUUCAUGCUUAGUGUCAUUUUACAAGUUAAAAAUAUUAGUGAAACAUUAGAGAGUGAGAUUAGUGAGGGGAAAAGUGCAGCUUGGUUAAGUUUAUUUCGUGCCAUUUUACAUUUAUUAGUGGAAAAAAAAAAGGCCAUUCAUGGAUUUCACACUUAAUAUUAAACCCACAUACAUUUUUUUUCUUUAUUCAGCACAACUGUCUCAAGUAAAUGACUGGCUAAAUUUUGAAAUUAAUACGGAAGAAAAGCCCACUAAUAACUAUUGGAUGAAACCUGUUAAAGUUGUAUUUACAGAAAGCUGUGUUGUUGCAGUGAUAUUUCUUCCAACAAUAUGCAGUCAAAGAAAGAUGCAGAUACUUAAUUCAAAUAAAAGAUUGUCUUCUGAUGGUGAUUAAAUCCAAAUUUCAUCUAUAUUUGUUGGAGAAGUUACUGAGGAUAUUUUAAAUUAUUUUAACUUGAGACAUAAGAAAGAUAUCUCAAAAUACAAAGAAAAUCUUACUACAGCAAUGAAUUGUUUUAAAUCUCUGGCAAGUUGCAAAGAUGAAAAAAGAGUAAUGUUAGAAAAAAAGAAGGAAUACUCUGGAAAUAAUAAUCCUAAAUACACCCAUGUGUUACAGCUCUGCAAUUUGUUAACAUCCAGAAGUGGUAAGUAAUUAAUACUAGUAAUUUUAGCUCAAUAAUUUACACAAUGUAGAAAAACCCUACAAAUGUUAUUGUAUUCCUGGAGAUGUGAUAUACUGAAGAAAACUAGUUGCAUUGCAUUCUGUCAACCGAUUUAUGAAAGUUUGCAUAAGUAGCCAAUUUUACUGUCACAGUGGUAUUUCCUAUUUUAUAAAAUUAAUUCAUGUUGCCUUAUUGUAGCAGGUGAAACCUCUGCCUGCAGAGCACAUGGAAAGAACUUCAUCUCUUUCCACCUACAAAGUUAAUAUCUGAAAAAAUACCUUUGCUUUUACUUAGGCCAACAGGUUCUAAGGAAAUGGUUACUAAAAAAAGUAAGUACUUCUUUAAUUUCUAGUUUUCCAUUCCCCCAAGAGACCAUUUUUUGGAGUAUUGUUACUUUUUGUGGGACUGAAGAUGGAAGGAAAUAUCCUGGGGUAUACAUGCUGUUCACUAUGCCUGUACCUUGAAGAAGAUCCUGUUCAGGUGCAGAAAAUGAUUUUUACACUCUAUUUGAGCUGCAACAGUGGAAAGCUUGGUAGACUCAGCAGUGGGGAAAGUCAGUGAUUUUGGUACUUCCACGGAAGACCAUUAGAUAGUUCAAUCAGAAUGGACUACAGGAGGCAGAAUGCUCAAAGACUGGAGUAAAUAUAUUGAUUAGCCUAACGCCUGCUGAGCCUUUUUGUUAGCAGCUACUUGUUUUGAUAUUUUCUGGGGGACAGUUAAAAACAGCUCAGUCCCAGCAGGUGAUUUUUGCAUUUACUUGGUCCAUGGCUAAAAACAUCAGCCCUUUUGACCAGCGGGUUUGUUGUACUAUCACUGUGUUGUAUGAAUUUGUAACUGUGAUUUUUUGACUGUUUCUUCUAGACAACAGUAAUGGAGUGGAGACUGUGAUUUACAAGAAAGACAACUUUGUGUGUAAACAUUCAUAUAGCCUAAGAACUACUCAUGGUUUUUAAAUAUGAAGAGAUACUGCUCAGGAUCAUAACUUGUACUUUUGGAUUACUCCCUAUAAAACAGUGUAGUCAUGAUCUAGUGUCACACUUGAAAGAUUGUUAUGGAGUAAGUUAUCAGGUACAAAAAAGUUUUCAAAAGACCAUUUAUAGCUGUGAGAAAUGCACUUUAAAUUUACUAGGCUUGUGUUUAUACGUAUAAAUGAGAGAGCUAGUUUUCAUUAUAUUGAUAGUUCUUCAUGUUUACUAUCUUCAGAAACAAGCUAGUAAAGUUACAGUAAUAUAAAACAAUUUUCUGGAAAAAGAAAAGAAGUUUGUAUUCCUGACCUCUGUUCCAGAACAUUGUGAUGAUGGAUUAUUUAAUAUUUUCUUAGCAGUUAGAAGAGGUGAAGUCCCACAUUUGCUAAAACUGUAAGUAACAAACCAGUGUUCUUACAUGACAUUAUUACUAUGACUGUAUUAAAAUUCCAAGCUUAUGUUUAUUUUGCAUCUUUCCAGAAUGAACUGACAAUAGUGACUCAAGUAAGAAAACAUAGUGAUGUAGCAAACAUUUUUUAUACCUUUUCAAUGACUCUGUGUUUAUCAGCCUCCUUGUGUGUGAUUCAUUUUUAAUAAUCAAGUUUUCCUAUGAUCAUUGUUUAUAAGCAUUAUUUUUCAUAAUCAAAGGAACUUAUAUUUCUGGAAACAAGGACAAAUGAUACUUGUGGGCAAAAAAGACUUCAUCACUUUCUGAAACUUCACAUAUCAUACUGAUGAAUGAUUAGGAUCCACAAUCAGUCAUUUUGAACUGGAGAUCUGCAUAAGUCAAAAUUUGGAAUCACACAGGAACUCUCACUGAAGAUUUAACAGCUUAUAGCAGUUAGAUUAGGCUGUAAAUAACUGAAACUGCCAGAAGAAAAUUUCCUUUUUGCUUCUGUCCAUAAGUUGCCCUGGGCUAUGGUGGAUAUCCAAAAGGGGAAGCAAAUAGUUUGUUUUCCAAGAUGGCAGAGGUUGGUUUAGACCAGCGUGCAGUUGUGUGUGCAGAAGCUAAUGCAGUUGUUAUGAGGUAGGAACUUAUUCAGUAUUUAAAGAAAUAUUUAAAGAAAGUCUUGGUGCUGCGUUUAUCUCUCUGACUCAUCUAACAUGGGAAUUUCCAAUGCCCAGAAAGAAGUGAUGUUAUGUAGCAUGGAAACAUAUUUAGUCUCCUAAGGCACUGGGGGCAGUUGUUUGUCAGAGAUCUGGGUCUGUGUGUUCUUGUGUUCUAAUACACCCAGCAAACUUAUGUGGUGGAGUCUCAGAGCUUCCUGCUAGUCCCGUUUCUGACCUUACGUAAGCCCAGUUUCCACAUGCAGUCAUGGGCAGAGGUCUUCAGGUGUGCUGGAGGCAGGAGUAGCCAGCACAGAGCUGAGACUGCUGUGUGGGCUCUGAUGUUAUUGGAGCCAUUAGAAAUGCAAGGCAUCAAAGCUGAGUGGCUAGCUUAGACUACUUUCUUUGAUACGCACACAGUGAGUUUCAUGUGGUUUCCUACCUGUGGGAAAUUUCUCUGCAUAAUGACUGCUAUUGCAAAUGUCUGUGUUUAUGUUCUUAAUUGAUUGCUCCUCUUGACUGAACAUGGGAGCUGUCACCUACUCCCAUAUUCAGGUGAUCAUGGUUUGAUGGUGAAAUGAUCCCUGAAUACAUAUUACAUUAACAAAAGUAUUUGUCUUUAUGGUGCUGUGAGUACACAAACAGUAAGUAGAUCCAUCUCCUGAGCUGGCAAGUUCAUCAUACAUACUCUAUUCACUUGUCAUAGGCUUUCAGUCACUUACUCUCCUGUCUCAGCUUGUGAUAAAAGACAAAAGAGAAAGGAAUCCGCUCUAGAUUCCAAGAGAAAUAAUUCUCUCCCAGCACACACACCUCAUUUCAUUUGUAACUAUGAUAAUUCUGCAUUUUCUCAGUCCUGAGAGAGACCUCAGUAAUGCUGAACUUCAUCACCACGCGUAGCCCUUGGAGUGACUGUGUGAAACUGAUUGACUCAAAGGAGAUGGCAAAAGUCAUUUUGCUAAAGUGAGAUGGAAAUAAGUGUACGUGAUAUUAGAUAUGGUUAAAAGCUAUGUGCUGCAUUUCAAAGCUUGCUGUUCCUUUGUCCUUCUCUGAGGGUGUCUUCCUAAAGCCAUGUGCUUUCCCUUGGGAGAGGUUUGCACACUCUUCACUUUUUCAGGCUGGGCCUUGUGUGCCACGUUUGAGCUUGAUUGACUGCCAAGGAAACAAUACUUCUCACAGGAGUAUGCAUGGGAAAGUUUGCUGCUCCCACAGUAGAAGGGAAGAAGAUUUGAUGACAGGUAGUGCUUACAAGCCAUUCUUCAGCAGCAGCAGGAAGGAAGGUCCUGGGUGAAAAAAACAAGGCACAUAGACUUUAAAUGGAGUUUCAUUUCCUUGCCAGUAUGAUGUGCAGUUUCAGACAAAUGGAGGAGGACCAGCCUAUCUUCCUGCCUCCCAGAUCAGGCUCUGCUCUCUUGUCCACUGCCACAAGGUCAACAUUAUCUAUAGCAGUUCUUCCCUCUUUGUGAAGAAAUGCACUACUAAAGGUGUGUACAGCUCCCUAGAAAUCCAGGGUCUACAUGCUUGUCUGUCUUACCAUCUAAAUAUCCUGGCAGUGACAGCUCAGAUUUAUGAGAUUGUGGUAAGGACUUUAUUUAUAAUCAAAAUCUUUGUCAUCUAAGGACAUUAUUUUCCAACAGAAAAGUAAUAUACUAUUUCAAGUAGUCAAACAAACUUGUUGCAGGAAAUAUAAGUUGGGGUUUAUACUGGCCUCAAAGCGUUUCAUGUCUUUGAGUCUACAUGCACACAACUGUAUUUAAGGAAUGGAGUGCCCUGGGACUAGUAAUGGCUUUCAGGGACUCUUGCAAUUCUUGCAAAGAGUUGUCUCCAUGGAUAAUAUGUGCACAGAAACCUCUGUGGAACUAAGACUUUAUUGAUGUCAGAUACUGCUAAUGGAGUCAUACUGGAUAAAAGUGUAGAUCAUUAAUACAAGUUAUUUUUAAUAACCUUGAUUUUGCAGAGCUUUUUAGCACAAAAUUAUUGUAUAUCCUGGUAACUCUUUUAUUUAUUUUAAAAGAAGGCCAUCAAAUGAUACUAAAAUAGAAAUAUGAAAUCAGAAAACUAUUUUAGAAAGUCUUUCAUGUUAACUGUGUGUACUAUACAUUUCUCUCUCAUUGUGGUGGUAGUUUUUUUUUUUAAUUAUGUUCAGGUUCAAUCAUUUAAAUCAUUUAGUUUUGAGCCAGGGUUUUGCAGACUAUGGUGCUGACAACUGCUUUUUUAGAUUCCCCCCAUCUGUAACACCAAUACUGGGAUUCUCUAGGGUGACCCUAGACCCAGAAUAAUCUAUGUAAACCUUCUUUAUCUUUAAAAUGUCAUUAUGAGAAUGCUGUUAUUUGUGGCUUGGUGGCUUUCAGCAAUCAUUUCUUUUGCACAGCCUCUGUAGAGGACGCUGAAGUGUUUUUCACGAGAUUAAAUUGAAGGUUUUGCACCUUCAAAAAACGAAAUUGUUUGCACUUUUCCAUGUAUCAUAUGUUUGUGUUCCCUUUGGAGAUGGCAAGCCUCUUUUUUCAUUUCACCCUUGACUUCUGUUAUUUGAUCUGGAAAUAUAUGUGGGCUUUCUGCUUGGUCUGGAGGCUGAGAAAGCAACAGCAUAAAAAGUACUUUGGCAUGGGUUAGCAUAGAAAUAGUCUGUUGUUUAUGUGUGUGCAAGCGCAUAUGCGGCAUGGGGGCUGGGAGAAUUCCUAAGGAUGUCAUACAGUAUGACAAAGCCAUGCUAUAGGCAUCCUGUAAGAGGAACUUUGCAAAACUAAAUGCUAUAUGUAAAAGAGAGUGACAGUAUUGUAAAUCCAUAAUCUCUUCAGACUCCAUAAGCAAUUGUGCAUAGACUUCCUUGUGAAAAGAAGACAGCAGAGUCUUAGGACAAAUUGCAAGAUCCUGCACCUAGGUUGAGGCAAUCCCAAGCACAGAUACAGAUUGGGUGGAGAAUGGCUUGAGAGCAGCCCUGAGAAGAAGGAUUUGGGAGUGUCAGCUGAUGAAAGAUUCAGCAUGAGUUGGCAAUGUGCUUGCAUCCUAGCAGGCCAACCGUAUCCAGGGUUGCAACAAGAGAAGUGUGAGACCAGUUCAAGGGAGGUGAUUCUGCCCCUCUACUCUGCUCUUGUGAGACCUCACCUGGAGUACUGCAUCCAGAUCUGGA